GACGAACCGAGCGAACGUUGUUCGGAAUCACUGGGCUUAAAGGGCGCGUAGGCGGGUGCUCAAGUCCGGGGUGAAAUCCCACAGCUCAACUGUGGAACUGCCUCGGAUACUGGGUGUCUCGAGGGUGGCAGGGGUAUGCGGAACUAUCGGUGGAGCGGUGAAAUGCGUUGAUAUCGAUAGGAACUCCGGUGGCGAAGGCGGCAUACUGGUCCGACUUCUGACGCUGAGGCGCGAAAGCGUGGGAGCAAACAGG
rnacentral:rRNA from 1 species